rnacentral:lncRNA from 1 species
ACCAGAAUGCAGGCACUCAAACUCACAUCGAAUCCCCUGCUACCCUUGCACGCUGGUCAGAAAGACACCCACAUGCACUUGAGCCUAAUUUGCCGCACUCUUUUGAAAGAUAGGUAACCAGUCGUCUGUAAAGGAUCAAUAUAGUUGGGGUGCAGAUACAGGCCUUUCCCCUAGGGAAACACUUGCAUCAGUAUUAGUGAGAGACCAAGUACACAUCUGAAGCAUUCCUGUGCUUUCUGUCCACUUGUCAGGUGAUGUUGCCACGUAUGACUGUCCAUCAGCCAGGAGAUGAACCCCCCACCCGUGAGGCAGUGACUCAAGGUGCAAGGGAGUCCGGCAAGAAGUGUGGCGCACCCGAGUUGCUGCCACUGCUUUUUGGAUCACCCAGCACGGUCUUCUGAAGUCUUCCUGAAAGCAUCCCUGGUGAUCUGUGAGCCCUUGGUCGUGUUGCCCGCCUUCUUCCUGUGGGUCCUUGCUGGAUGCUCAUGUCCCUGUGAGCCGAGGCCCUGGAGGCUUCAGAUUUAGG